CAUCUGUCAUAGCGGCGAUUACUUUAUAAAACGCGCUGAACAGUAUCACGCAGUUGCACUCGCUCGUUAUUUGUUCUUUUGAAAAUUGGCAUAGUUUUUCAACAUGAACUCAGUGCUACUGGUAUUAGUGGUCGUCUUCAGUAUCGAACUUACAACCGUCUCCAACAGUAUGAAGGACCUAAAUGGCAGAAAUUUAUGCCUCCCUUAUGGAAAACCCUGCACUUUAAAUGAAACCUUGUUACGCAAAUACGACUUUUUAAAAUGCUGUAAGGCCUGGUGUCGCUGCAACCUUUUUGGUGGCGGCUGCACAUGCCGUUACUAGAGGUGGUCAGACACUCAGUUUGUUGAUCAAAACAAAGGGCGGUGUAUAGUCAUCUCAAUAAACUAAUA